CCUGGGGAAAAACCAUCUCUCGGACUCCACCCUCUUCCUUUGAUCCUCCCACCGAACGCCGGGCUGCAGCGACAGAAGCUGAGCCGUUCCGAGGGGGGAAGUCACCUGCUCAGCUGGAAGCUGGGAGGAAACCGAAUUUAGGCUUCAAGGAACUCAGAUUCAGCCUUCCCCCAGCACCCACGAGGAGCCACAGCACCGUCGCCUUCGUGAUCUCCUUUAAUCCUCACAGCAACCCUAUCAGCCCCAACAUACAGGUGGAGAAACUGAGGCUCAGGGAGCUUCAACAGGAGCUCUGUUCUACAUGGCAGCUGCGUUCUUUCCCUUGUCUGAGUUCCAGCAGCAUCCAGAUCCUCAGCACACACGGGAGUUUUCAUAAUCAUCUGCUACGCAACAUUUGGUCUGUGCUUCCGAUUCCGUCAGUCCCAGAUUCGUGAUAGAUCCUCCGAGAGCACCUACUGUGCGCCGAGCCCUCUGCUGGGUGGGGACAUCAGGGAGGUCUGCUCCUACUGUCAAGUUCCUCUCGACUCUCUGAGCUGAAGAGACGAGGAGAGAAACCAGACCGAGCAGCUGCGUAGGAGUUGAUUUGAUCACUGCUGUGCUGCCCUGUCCUGUCAAUUCUGUGUCUAAUUCUCCAACUGGAAGCCCCUGAAAGCAGAGUUUGGAAGGCCACAACCUCGUGGUUAAAGACCCUAGCUCAAGAACCAGACUGCCAGGGUUCAAAAUCCCUUCUACUCAGUGGCUGUGUGCCCUUGGGCAGGUCACUUAACUUCUCUGUAAAAUGAGGACCAUAAUAUAUCAGAUAUUAUAGUAUACCAUACUACUAAUACAUCAGAUAAAUAAAUCGAUACAUGUAAACCACUUA